AAAGGGAGGCCUAAUUCCAGUAGGAGACGAAAAAAAGUAGUCCCUACCAAGAAUCAAUCCCAAAAGGUCGGAGCGAGGCAAAAUUGGCUUUCAAACUAGGUUCUGGGUUCACACAAGACCUGAAUCAGGAACAAGGGCUAUUAGCUCAGGUGGUUAGAGCGCACCCCUGAUAAGGGUGAGGUCCCUGGUUCGAGUCCAGGAUGGCCCACCUGCACAGGUGGAAGAAAGAAAAGAAGCUCCGAAUCAGCACCUUAUCUUACUUAUAUAGUAAGAGAGAAUGCUGGCUCUGAGUACAGAGUCCAGAGGAACCUUGAAAACUGCAUAGAGCUAGGUGAAAAAGCCAAAAAAGAAGACCGCAAG
rnacentral:tRNA from 1 species